AAACAUUCCUGCUGUCAGAGCUUGCACGAAAGCGAGGACACAAAUGCAGUUCUUCUGUAAGAUGCUCAUUGCGAGUGAUGCAAGCACACAUGGAGGCUCCUCUGUGCCUUACCGUGCCGCGGAGAAGAUAUCCCUGCCCUGGACACAAAUGAAAUUCUUCUGUAAGAUGCGCACUGUGAGUGACACAAGCACAAAUGGAGGCUCCUCCAUUAAGCCACAUGAGUUCAAAAACCUAUUGGUUGGUUGCCAGUUGGCGAGAAAGAGGCCCAUGGAUUCCCUUAGACGAACAUAUAUUAGAUGGCUAUCAUUAUACAAUACACCUUGAGUGCCUUCAUAACUGUCCAGAAGCUUCCUGUGCUGUUGCUGGUUUCUGUUUCUUGCCUGCUCGCCCACUACA